rnacentral:rRNA from 1 species
AUGGCCUCCAACCAGAACCAGGCCAGCUACCACGCCGGCGAGACCAAGGCCCGUACAGAGGAGAAGACCGGGCAGAUGAUGGGCGCGACCAAGGACAAGGCCGGGCAGACCACGGAGGCCACCAAGCAGAAGGCCGGCGAGACGGCCGAGGCAACGAAGCAGAAGACUGGCCAGGCCACGGAGGCUACCAAGCAGAAGGCCGGCGAGACGGCCGAUGCCACCAAGCAGAAGGCCGCCGAGGCCAAGGACAAGACGGCGCAGACGGCGCAGGCGGCCAAGGAGAAGACGUACGAGACGGCGCAGUCGGCCAAGGAGCGCGCCGCCCAGGGCAAGGACCAGACCGCCAGCACCCUCGGCGAGAAGACGGAGGCGGCGAAGCAGAAGGCCGCCGAGACCACGGAGGCGGCCAGGCAGAAGGCCGCCGAGGCGACCGAGGCGGCCAAGCAGAAGGCGUCGGAGACGGCGCAGUACACCAAGGAGUCCGCCGUCGCCGGCAAGGACAAGACCGGCAGCGUCCUCCAGCAGGCCGGCGAGACGGUGGUGAACGCCGUGGUGGGCGCCAAGGACGCCGUGGCCAACACGCUGGGCAUGGGCGGUGACAACGCCACCAAGGACACCACCACCGGCGCCACCACCAAGGACACCACCACCAGGAAUCACUAG